rnacentral:rRNA from 1 species
GAGGAAUAUUGGGCAAUGGAGGCAACUCUGACCCAGCCAUGCCGCGUGCAGGAAGACAGCCCUAUGGGUUUUAAACUGCUUUUAUACAGGGCGAAUUCUGUUACGUGUAACAGGUUGACGGUACUGUAUGAAUAAGGAUCGGCUAACUCCGUGCCAGCAGCCGCGGUAAUACGGAGGAUCCGAGCGUUAUCCGGAUUUAUUGGGUUUAAAGGGUGCGUAGGCGGUUCAUUAAGUCAGUGGUGAAAUCAUCGGGCUCAACCCGGUCAUUGCCAUUGAUACUGGUAGACUUGAGUACAGAUGACGUAGGCGGAAUUGGACAAGUAGCGGUGAAAUGCAUAGAUAUGUCCAAGAACACCAAUUGCGAAGGCAGCUUACGAAACUGUAACUGACGCUGAUGCACGAAAGCGUGGGUAUCAAAC